GGCCUGCUGCGGGGUGAUGUAGUGGAUGUGGGAGUCCACACCGCCGGCGGUGAGGACGCGGUGUUCACCGGCGAUGACCUCGGUACCCGGACCGAUGACCAGCUCCGGGUCCACGCCGUCCUGGGUGUUCGGGUUGCCGGCCUUACCGAUCUUCACGAUGCGGCCGUCGCGGAUGCCGACAUCACCCUUGACCACGCCCGCGACGGCGUCGAGCACGAUGACGCCGGUGAUGACGGUGUCGAGCGCGCCGGUCGCCGCGGUGGCUGUGGGGUCCUGGGCCAUGCCGUCGCG
rnacentral:sRNA from 1 species